ACGCGUUUGGGCACUCAACCGGUCGAAAUAACACAGCUGAAACUGUGUUAUUAUUAAUUAAAUACCCAGUAAACAGUCACACAUGAUGAAGUUAGUAAGAUAUUUAAUUCCUCUCCCCCUUUUUCUCCUUCUUCCUGAGGCAGCUCGAACCAGACAUGUUUCCCAUCCCCGUCCAACUGCUGCUAUGGCGGCAAGGCUGACCAGGGGCCUCAUGUAUCAACGCUGGCGGCGCCAGAAAACCUUGCGUCCGCCAAGAUCGGCGCACACGUCCAGAUUUAUCAUUGCGACACGAGCGUCGGUUCCAGCGCAAAUCAACGCAAAGUGAGGAGGUGGUGUAGAAGUUGGCGUUGAGCCGAUACUUGCGUUGACGGCACUUUGGCGACGCUGUGUGGCGGUGUUUGGUGACUCACUAUGUGACAAGCAUGCACCACAUCCCCGUGGCCGAGCAGCACGUCGCCCCACAUGACAAACCAGCAGCAGACGGAGGGAUGCGAGCUGAUCCCUGCCGGGCCGCCGUCCUCGCGCGACAGAAUCUCAUCGCCACAGUGUGAAUGGGUAAGAAGUGAAUACACAGUUCAAUGAGUCAAAUUAAUUUAUUUUCUCCACCAGACGCUCGAGGACAUUUACGAGCCGGUCCAGCCGCUCGUUGAUCCCCGCGAUCCCCCUGAUGAUUUCUUCCUGCGAUUGCAGGACCGCCUCCGUGAGGACCCUUCCACUGCGUCCGGGUGGUCCAGCGGAAGCGCCACGGCUGGUGGACGCUCCACCGCUUGUCGGCGCGCUGGUGCUGAUGCUGGUGCUGGUGCUGGGGCCGGGGGCCGGGGUGGCCCGAAUGCCGCUGGUCCUGGCCGACGACUCCGAGCCGGCGGACGGGCUGCCGUGGGCCGGGGUUCCGCAAGCCGGCGACACGGCCGACACAUUGAUUUCUGUGACACAAUAAAAAUACUGGUUCAUUUCAAUUCCUGCUUCUGUGUAUCUGUUGCGUUUACAUCUCUCUCCACGGUAUCAUAGGUAAUGUAAUCCAGUAUUUAUAGGUCAGUUAUGCACAUUACAGUUGUUUAUUGCAUAAAAAGUUAUCAAAAAAUGAAGUUAAGGGCGAAGUAUAAAUCACGUCUAAAAAUAGACUGAAUCCCAACGUUGAAAUGAAGUAUAAACUUAGACUAGACGUCUAAUAUACGUCUUUUGCUCAGUGGGAUGGCAAAGCAUGUGGACAUUUGUGUGACACGCCACUUACCCUAUAAUAAUCGCCACCACCCCCUCCUCCGGAGGGCAGCUGUACGCCGCUUGACCACUUUUUUUUUAUCUCCGCGGGGGUGCGUGUCUUGGAACCCACCGCGUUCACCCUCUCGCAAACUUUCUCCCACUCCAAGCGUUUUCGUUUUGCACUGACGCCACUGGACAGGCUGCCAAACAAAACACGCUGUCGCUCCUCCACCUCCGCCACCAGCACCUCCACCUCGCAUGCCGUAAAUUUAGUUUUUCUUGUCAUUUUGUCUGUGUGCGAGGACAGGGAGACCCUAUUUAAAUAAAUCUGCAUAUUUAUAGCAGGGCGUAACGGGGGCGGGCCCGGUCACUCCGACAUCUGCGCUCAAUUUCAAGCUGACUGGGAUUUAUCAAGGAAACACACGUGGCUUUCGGCGCCCGCACACCUUGAUACAUACGGAUUUUUUUCAGCGUGAGGGACCUUGCAUGCGCUCGUUUCUGGUAUGAGUCCCACGCAAGUGUUGAUACAUGAGGCCCCUGAUGAUUUAUUUUGGUGAUCAGAUAAGUUAUUUACUGUGAACAUUUGAACAAAAAAAAUUAAAACAAACUUUCAUUUAAAAUUACCUGUUUAUCAAAUGUCCUCACAUCCUUAAAAUUCUGCGAAUAUUCAAUAAGGAGUCAGGCCCACAUAAGAGUAUUAUAAUAUUCAGUUACGUGAGCCAAGUUCAAUGAAUGUUGUGAUCUGUGCGCACAACCCACCUUUGUCACAUAGGGUUUAAAUAUAUGCAACUUGAUGUGAUUGUCUUUAUUUGUGGAAAAGGGUGUUUGUCUUACCAGUGGGUACAACCUUACACAAACCAAGUCCCUCUGUGCUUAUAUGAGAGAGUGUGGAGGACGCCCUCCGCAGCGCAUUCAGCGACACUUGUUGAGGGGCUGCCUUCUGUUGCCAUCGUGUGGCAUUGCUGUCUUCAGACAUCUCUUGAUCUCUUCAACUACUUCACGAAAAUUGUAAUACGCCUCGCCGGCGGCAUAUUUAAAGGUGAGAAGAGGAGCUGAUAUGAUUAGUGAAAACAGGACCCGGCUGUGUUAAACCCACUCCACGCCUUCUCUCCUUUCUCUACUACUUACGCCGCUGGGAGGAGCGGAGUUAGGGAGGGGGGAUACUUACGCCAGGCUGCGCUUCUCACCAAAAUACCAAAGUGUGCUUGGGUGUGCACGCCUUGUCAGUGUGGAGGACCUGACUUACACUGCUGAUUCUGAUUCAUAACUGUAGCCCUAAUUUCAUCAGGGAUCCACUUAUGUCUUUGGCCUCUUCUUCCUCUUUCCAUGUUUUGCCCCCUUCCUCACCCCUCUUCCACCAUGCUGAACUUCCCUUUUUGUGUUACAGUAUUGUAGAGAUGUUACACACUAUGUCCUGCUCAGUUCAUAUAUGCUAGCCAAGUGAGGGUUCAUGGGAUUCUGCUCUGGUUGACUGUUGACAAGUGGCUUGACAUUGGUUACAAGUAAUGCUUCAAACAACCCUCCUCAUGAGUGAAUGCUGAGGUUCACCUGAGAGAAACUGUUCAUUUUAGGUCAGAGACAUUUUCAGGAAAAUAUUAUAAAGAAAUGUUUCAAAUUUGAUCGAUUGAUUUUGAGAACCAGUUCAACAUUUUUGUAUGACAUGAGGAAUGAAAUGAGGACUAUUAGUUUUAGGAAAUGACUGAUUAAGUCAUUGUGAAAAGUAUAGUUCAUUUUGACUGACAUGACAUAAGUAAAUGAUAAUGUUAUGAAACAGCAGAGGAUUGUAUGAAAACAGUUGAUGCAUUUCCAAAAGCAUUUGCAACUUGAAGAAAGGAAUGAAAAACUGCUGCUAUGAUGUGCACAAAUGACUAAAUGUUGUGGAGGUUGAACUAACUAUUGUGCAAAGGUUAAUAGUAAUGUGAGAAAUGCACCAAAGUGACUGAGAAAAACUGUAAACAGUUCAAUAAUGCCUGAUACCCAAUACCAAGUGCAACUAUUGCCACCCAUCCAUCCUAAAGCCCCACUCGGUACAGUCCAUAUUACCAACACUUAUCACCAACACCCCCUUGCCAUGAGUGAUAUAGUGUGUUUUUUGUCAUUCUUUUUAUUUUACUGAUGUGCCUCUUUAGCCAGAAAUAUAGAAUUUUCUUUCCACUUUCCUCCCUUCUGCAAUAAGGCUUUACACGAACUGUAAUAAAACUAGACUCACACCACCACUUUUUUCCUGGCAUUUGAAUGCUGUAUAUUGUAUAUAGUUUUAUUUUUCUUCUCCCUUUUUCCUUUUCCUAAUUUUUUUCUUAAUUAUUACAUUUAUUUCAGUUCUUAAUAUUACGAUCUUUAUUUUAUAACUGCAUUUUUGCACUCUUUGUCUGUGAUGCUGCUGUGACAAAAAAAUUUCCCCCAUGGGGGAUCAAUUCUAUUCUAUUCUAUUCUCUUUGUCUUACUUUUUCCUUAGUCUUUUAAGUUUUCCGCCAUGUGUUCAUUCACAUUGGUUGAUUUUUCUUUAACAUCGUCUUAGAUCAAGUUUUACUGCCAAACUCAUGUGAGGAACUUUUUGGAUUUGUCAACUGUGGCGCCCCCUGUGGAUAAAGUAGUCUCUGCUCAGCUUGUCUGCUACAUGCUUGAGAUGGAAUUUUUUACGUCACUGUUGUUGCUAAUGGUCUUGUUUACUUUUGAACAUUAUUAGAAGACAUUAUAAUGAAUUUCAGUCAAUUUCAUUAUUGUCAGACACUCCCAAUGGAAGCCUUUAGCACAUUAUUUGCAUUCACACCAGGGCCUAUUCUGAGGGAGACAUGGUGCUCAAGCAUCAGUCGCUGCAAUCUGAGAAGUCUUAGAGAUUGACUUCAACUCUAUAUGUUGCAUUUAGAGGCCUCAGAGAUUGAUUGCUCCCUUUUUACAGAUAAAAAGUCAUGAAUUAUAUUAAUUUAUGCCAGUGUGGCAGAGACCACCACCUUCUCAUCCCAACCCCCCAAAAGAAUGUAAGGCCUACAUCUGCUUACCGGAGACAAGAUGGUGUAAACCUUUAACACCAAAUCACAAUCCUUCUACAACCUCCUGUCUCUAUACAAGAUAACCAAAGAAGCCUUCCCAAAAGGACAAACCUUCUAUCCUUUCUACUUCAAAGAGACAAAGACACUGUUUAUGGCCAGCAGGAAAGAACUGCAGGACCACUCAAUCAGAUAGACAUCUGUCAUCACACCUUGACUGGGAAGCGUCAGGUUUAUCAGUUCAGCCAUGAAUCCUAAAUUUGGUUGAUCUUCCCUGUGCUCUCUGUGAGUACAAUCCAAAGAGAAUAACUACAACUAGUCCAGUUACAGGUUGGAUGGACACUACACUAUGAUUUUCUAUCAGUGCUCAACAUGUGCAGUAAAACAGUCUUUGUCCCAUUUGCCUAUCAUGUUCAUAAGCCAAGAUCUCACACUGACAGAAUAAAUCCUUCAAUCACAAAGUUCCUUAAGAUCAACAGCUUUCCAAACUGUUUCAUGAACUUUUAAGAGCUGAAGUUAUUAUGUUUGAAUUAUAACCCUAUUCUAGUAGGAAUAGUGUAGAAAUGUUUAGUUUAUCUCUUAAUCAUUUGUUUAUCUUUAUUAACCAGUAGGUAGUUAUACUGUUAGUUAAUAAUCUGAAUGUUGGUUUGUAGAAUCCAUUAUUACCUGUUAUGAAGUUCAUUUACAUGUGUUUACCUUUGUGUUAUUCACAGUUCAUAUGUGUUACUAUCUAUUUCAUUUUAAAGUAAUUUAACAUGAUCAAUGUUCUUUGAAAAGUGAUACUUAAAGCAUAGUGAGAAUGUUUGUUAAUGUGAUUCUACAAUUCUGUACAUGUGUUUAGCAUAAAAUCCUUUAUUAUGAACCAAGCAUUCUUUAACAUUAAUCAUAGUGAGUGAGUAUUUGAUCUGACUCCUUUACUAGCCAAAGUAUAAGUUGGGUCAAACAAUCAGGGCUCUUGAAAGUCUCCUCUCAGGAAGCUGCAGCUGGGGAUCAGGACCCCCUCUUUUCUCUCCUCACACCUCAGAGACACUCCCAGUUUGAAGAGUAUAAAACCAGUAAAGAUGGUAUGCUCACUCUCUUGCUUUUGCCCUCUCUCUUGCCUUUUGCUCUUCACACCCUUGUUUUUCCCUUUUUUUUCUUUUUGUUUCUGCUAAGUUUCCUCUUAGCUUGUUUUCACUUCAGACCUGUGGCCCUCACUUCUCAUCUGGUGAAGACUCUGGAGAGGAUCGUGCUGAGGAACCUCCACCUCCUGGUGAGCUCUCAUCUGGAUCCUCUGCAGUUUGCGUACCAGCCAAACAUUGGGGUGGACGACGCAGUCAUCUAUCUGCUGCAGAGGUCCAUGGCUCACUUGAAGAACACCAGCAGCACUGUGAGGGUCAUGUUUUUUGACCUCUCCAGUGCUUUCAACACCAUCCAGCCUUCACUGCUCAGGGGGAAGCUCGAGAGGGCGGGGGUGGACUGUCACCUAGCCACAUGGACCGCAGACUACCUCACCGACAGACCACAGUUUGUGAGGCUUCAGAACUGUGUGUCGGACAUGGUGGUCUGCAGCAGGGGGGCUCCACAGGGGACAGUGCUCUCCCCCUUCCUCUUCACCCUGUACACCUCGGACUUCAGCUAUAACUCUGGGAGCUGUCACCUCCAGAAGUUCUCUGAUGACACAGCCAUCGUCGGAUGUGUAUCGUCAGGGGAUGAGCGGGAAUACAGGACUGUCAUCACUGACUUUGUCAACUGGUGUGGCACAAACCACCUCCAGCUCGAUGCCAGUAAGACAAAGGAGAUGGUUGUGGAUUUCCGCAGGAGGAGGACACCUCAGACUGUUCCAGUGAACAUCCAGGGUCUGGACAUUGAGAUGGUGGUGUCCUACAGAUUACUGGGUGUCCACCUCAACAAUAAACUGGACUGGUCAACCAACACAGACAUCCUGUACAAGAAGGGCCAAAGUUGUCUCCACCUGCUGAGGAGACUGAGGUCCUUUGGAGUGUGAAGGACUCUGCUCAGGACUUUCUAUGACUCUGUGGUAGCAUCUGCACUUUUCUAUGCAGUGGUCUGCUGGGGGGCAGGGAGCACCAAGAGGGACAGGGAGAGACUGAACAGACUGGUCAGGAGGGCCAGUUCUGUCCUAGACUGUUCUUUGAACUCCCUGGAGGAGGUGGGUGAGAGGAGGAUGUUAGCAAAUCUUGUAUCCAUCAUGGACAAUCCCUCUCACCCACUGCACCAGACUGUGGGGACUUCAAGCAGCUCCUUCAGCAGCAGACUUAGACUCCCACCUUGCAAGACGGAGCGCUACCGCAGGUCAUUCCUCCCUUCUGCAAUAAGGCUUUACACGAACUGUAAUAAAACUAGACUCACACCACCACUUUUUUUCUGGCAUUUGAAUGGUGUAUAUUGUAUAUAGUUCUAUUUUUCUUCUCCCUUUUUCCUUUUCCUAAAUUUUUUCUUAAUUAUUACAUUUAUUUCAGUUCUUAAUAUUACGAUCUUUAUUUUAUAACUGCAUUUUUGCACUCUUUGUCUGUGAUGCUGCUGUGACAAAAAAAUUUCCCCCAUGGGGGAUCAAUUCUAUUCUAUUCUAUUUUCUUUGUCUUACUUUUUCCUUAGUCUUUUAAGUUUUCCGCCAUGUGUUCAUUCACAUUGGUUGAUUUUUCUUUAACAUCGUCUUAGUUCAAGUUUUAAAACUUCAACUUUUUGUGCGCAUAGCAAUUCAAGAUUAAGCCUUUAAUUGAUUAUUCUUUAAUUUCACAAAGCCAUUUUUUAAAUAGUUUCAACUGGUCAUCGAGCCUCUUUUCCUUGGUUAUCUGUGUGACUGCCUAGUCACCUCUGAACGCAACCCAGCAGACCCAAAGUCAUCCUCUGAGCCAGUGUUGCAGUGAGGCCGAAGAGCACCCAAGGGAUAAAUAAGGCACUGGUUUUUCCAUUCAGGCCUGUGUGCUGUGAAUCCUGGCCUGUCCUUUGUCUGACUUUGGUCCUCUUUAGAGCUGAACCUCUUGAACCGGUAGCCUGGACCUUCGGAACCUGCUCCAUCCUCUCCAAAGACCAGCCUCACUUAAGUAUCCAAACCUCCAGAGCUCCAAACAGGGCUGAUGCUGUCUCAUGCAUUCGUGAUUCAGAUAACUACAUCCAAAUUUAUCUUUACACCAAAGUUAAUGUAGGUUUAUAUGUUAGAGCAUAUUCAUUCACUAUCAUUAACUUUAGUAAUCCAAGCCUGACUUUGAAUCUUUAAUUCAUCUGUUAUCUAUAUUUAUCUUAUCCUCAUUUAUUACAUGGAUGUUGAACCAUCAUUUAUCCUGUUAUAAACAGAUCAUUUAUUUUUCUAAGUCCCAGUGUGUUAGUGUUCUUCCAGAAGUGGAGUCCCUGAAAUGAGAAAUUCGGCUUUAGUUAUGGGGCUCUAUUUUCGUGCCUCGCUGGCGACGUGGCACAGGCGCGGUGUAAGCCAGGUCCGCCGCGCUGAUAAGGCGUGCCCAAGCACAAUUUGGUAUUUUGGUGAGCAGCACGGCGUCAGUAUUCCCCCUCCCUAACUCAGCUUCUC